AACAGAGAUGCCAACGACGACUACAGAGGUACCAACGACGACGACGGAGAUGCCAACCACGGAAAUACCGACUACAACCACAGAAGAACCAACCACCACCACGAAGUCAACAACGACAACGAGCAAUACACCAACUCCAGGAUUUCCAAAUUGGGUGCUAUAAUUGGCAAGUGAUAAGAUAAUAUCCACUAUUCAAAUAACUAUUAAUGUUAAAAAAAAAUUCAGUAUUAUAAAGAACACAAACAAUAUUAAUAAUAAGUUAUUCUUUAUAUUCAGUAACAGUAUUAAUUCUGUUUGUUUAUGUCGUUGUAAAAAUUAUACAAAUAAAUUAAUUUGGAAAUAUGAACAAA